rnacentral:rRNA from 1 species
AGGCCACCACCAGGAGUGGCGCCUGCGUCUUUUUUUCUCUCAACGCGAGAAAACUCACCCGCCCCGCCCCCUGGAGGGAUAGACAGAUUGAGAUCUUUUUCUUGAUUGAGUGGGUGGGGGGGCAUGGCCGUCCUUAGUUGGGGGAGGGAUUUGUUUGGUUAAUUCCGAUAACGAACCACACCCUAGCCUAUUUUUAGAUCGUCGGCUUACAAACCCCGGCAAGCCUUUUUAGAGGGGCAGGCGCUGCUUCUCCCCCACUAACUAAAGCACUACCUUGUCUGUGACGCCUUUAUAUGUCCGGGGCCGCACGCGCGCUACACUGAAGUGAUCAGCGUGCAUUUUGAAACCUACUCUGUCAAGAGUGGGGAACCCAAUGAACCCUCUUCGUGAUUGGGAGAGGGGAUUGUAACUAUUCGCUUCGAUCGAUGAAUACACAGCAAGCCCGAAUCAAAAUUUUGAGAUGAUUCGUUCCUGUCCUUUGUACACACACGCCCCAUCGCUACUACACAUUGAAUGUUU